GCGAAUAGCUCAGUUGGUUAGAGCAACAGACUGAUAAUCUGCUUGUCGAAGGUUCGACUCCUUCUUCGUUCCA
rnacentral:tRNA from 1 species